CAAAUCUGACAUAGUUAUCCAGCUCUGCUCUUUGUACUGCUCAGCAAGCCUGCAAGCAGAAUACAGUAACUUCUACACUGUGUCCCUCAGAUGGGAACUACAAGAACAAUGUUACUGAAAGGAACUACAACUAUCAAUUGUUAUUCACAGGAAAAACUCAACAAUAACUUCCAGCAGCCUGUCUACAUGUGAAGUUCAUGGCUGUGGCUUCUGGCAGGUCUUUCACUAAACUUAAGUUCCAUUGGCAUAAUUGAUGGUUGGCCCUGUGAAGCAUCAUCUGACAACUCACCCAGCAGGCCUGGCUAAUACUACAGUCCAACAGGAAGCAUCAAUUUUAAUUCACAUAAAUAUGAAUCAGACCACAAGCACUUCCUCUGCAGUAAUGGUCUACAAUAGUAGAAAAUAACCACAGAUGCAUGGUAUUCACCUCAGAGACCCGCAGGCACCCCUCCUUCAAGACAAAGUAAUGCAGUUCAGUUUUACACUUGCCCUUACCGUAUCAUAGUCACUAUGGGAAUAUCCAAACAUAGGGAAU